AUCCGGAAUCAUUGGGCGUAAAGCGCCUGUAGGUUGUUUAGUAAGUCUGUUGUUAAAGACCAGGGCUUAACCCUGGGAAAGCAAUGGAAACUACUAGACUUGAGUAUGGCAGGGGUAGAGGGAAUUUCUAGUGUAGCGGUGAAAUGCGUAGAUAUUAGAAAGAACACCGGCGGCGAAAGCGCUCUACUGGACCAUUACUGACACUCAGAGGCGAAAGCUAGGGGAGCAAAAGGGAUUAGAUACCCCUGUAGUCCUAGCCGUAAACGAUGGAUACUAGAUGUUGCGCAAUUUGUGCAGUAUCUUAGCUAACGCGUUAAGUAUCCCGCCUGGGGAGUGCGCUCGCAAGGGUGAAACUCAAAGGAAUUGACGGGGGCCCGCACAAGCGGUGGAGCAUGUGGUUUAAUUCGAUGCAACGCGAAGAACCUUACCAGGGCUUGACAUACUACAGAUUCUUUAGAGAUAGAGAAGUGCCUUCGGGAAUGUAGAUACAGGUGGUGCAUGGCUGUCGUCAGCUCGUGUCGUGAGAUGUUGGGUUAAGUCCCGCAACGAGCGCAACCCUUAUUUUUAGUUACCAAUUCGUUGGGUUCUCUAGAAAGACUGCCGGUGACAAACCGGAGGAAGGUGAGGAUGACGUCAAGUCAGCAUGCCCCUUAUGUCCUGGGCUACACACGUGCUACAAUGGUUAAGACAAAGAGUUGCGAGCUCGCAAGAGUCAGCUAAUCUCAUAAAC
rnacentral:rRNA from 1 species